rnacentral:rRNA from 1 species
CAUGUUUUUUAAGAUUUGGUCUACUUACUUAUCAAAUUGGUAUUGAUCUUACCGGUGUUAAAGGCGAAUAUAGAAAGAGUAUUCUCGGCAAUGAGCCUAGUGAAAGAUAGGUUGAGAAAUAGUAUGGGUGAUGAACUCUUGAACCAUUUCUUAGCAAACUUUAUUGAGUGGGAUGUGUUCUUGUAG